GCCAGUGUGGCUCAAUGGUUGAGUAUCUACCUGUGAACCAGGAUGUCACCGGUUCAAUUUCCGGUCAGGGCA
rnacentral:tRNA from 1 species